GAUGAACGCUGGCGGUCUGCUUAACACAUGCAAAGUCGAACGAACUCUUCGGAGUGAGUGGCGGACGGGUGAGUAACGCGUGAGAACUCUGCCUGUGGGUCGGGGACAAACCACCUUGGAAAACGGUGGCUAAUACCGGGAAUGAGCCGAAAGGUAAAAGAUUUAUUGCCCACAGAUGAGCUCGCGUCUGAUUAGCUAGUUGGUAAGGUAAAAGCGUACCAAGGCGACGAUCAGUAGCUGGUCUGAGAGGAUGAGCAGCCACACU
rnacentral:rRNA from 1 species